rnacentral:rRNA from 1 species
CCUACGGGAGGCAGCAGUAGGGAAUAUUGCACAAUGGGGGAAACCCUGAUGCAGCGACGCCGCGUGAAGGAAGAAGUAUUUCGGUAUGUAAACUUCUAUCGGCAGGGAAGAAAAUGACGGUACCUGACUAAGAAGCACCGGCUAACUACGUGCCAGCAGCCGCGGUAAUACGUAGGGUGCAAGCGUUAUCCGGAUUUACUGGGUGUAAAGGGAGCGUAGGCGGCGAGGCAAGUCAGAAGUGAAAGCCCGGGGCUCAACCCCGGGACUGCUUUUGAAACUGUGUUGCUAUAUUGCAGGAGAGGUAAGUGGAAUUCCUAGUGUAGCGGUGAAAGGCGGAGAUAUUAGGAGGAACACCAGUGUCGAAGGCGGCUUACUGGACUGUAAAUGACGCUGAGGCUCGAAAGCGUGGGGAGCAAACAGGAUUAGAUACCCUUGUAGUC